rnacentral:rRNA from 1 species
UAGGGAAUAUUAGAAAUGGACGAAAGUCUGAUCUAGCAACACCGCGUGUGCGAUGACGGCCUUCGGGUUGUAAAGCACUUUUAGAGGAGAUGAGAAAGGACAGUAUCCUCUGAAUAAGCCUCGGCGAACUACGUGCCAGCAGCCGCGGUAAAACGUAGGAGGCUAGCGUUAUCCGGAUUUAUUGGGCGAAAGCGCGUGCAGGCGGUUUAUCAAGUUGGAUGUGAAAGCUCCUGGCUUAACUGGGAGAGGUCGUUCAAAACUGAUAGACUAGAGAGUGGUAGAGGGAGGUGGAAUUCCGGGUGUAGUGGUGAAAUGCGUAGAUAUCCGGAGGAACACCAGUGGCGAAAGCGGCCUCCUGGGCCAUUUCUGACGCUAAGACGCGAAAGCUAGGGUAGCAAACGG